ACACAUGCACGCGCGCGUGGACGUAAGCCAGGCCUAGGCUUUGCCCGGGGAUUUCGUCGUGUUUUUCCAGAGAAUACUGAGCUUAACAGAUGCCAGUUGUAGAUACUCGUCCAGUUUGCCGGCAUCCAGUGCCUUGGACACUUCCACCAUACCGGGACGGAACGGCUUGUUGAAGAAGCGAUCGUACGUCGUGUGCCGCCGCAGAUGCUUCUGAUGGGUUGAGGACAAAGGAACUACGAAUAGAACAAAACAUGGAUAGCAGCAAAUUGCGCACCUACAGAGCUCGGGGAAGGGAUAGGCAUCUGUAUCUCCACCAAGGGAAUUGCGAAUUAUUUAAAACCGUCUGUUUUGUUGUAUUGCGAAGUCAUGUUAGGGAAAAGAUGAUGGGUAGUAAUGCUGCUCUUCGUUUGACAGUAUACAGAGACCUCACUGAAAAAUUGUGUUAUCACUGAUAGCUGUUCAGUCGACAGCACUCGCAGCCAAACGAAACUGUAGCAACUUUCGCCUCGCGAAUUUUUCCUGAGUGUCGAUUUGGACUCUGCAACAUUAUUAUAAUUAUAUACCGUACCUUGUAGUUGUACACGCACGAUAAAAUGUCAUCAGUCUUCGCUUUUAGUAUACGUAAAGAUUGGUGCAUACAUAAGGCAAAUGCAGAAUCGGAAACGAAGCGAAUUUGACGUCCCUGAAAAUGUGCAGCGAAAUUUCGCCCGAAUUGAAAUGCAUUCAACCUGUGCAAAAUUCGCAGCCGGAAUAUUUGAUCCGACGUCACAAAUUUGCGUUAGCAAAGCCUCAACUGGCCUUUAGUGCACUGUAGUGAGUGAUUUUUUAAGUACCAUUUGGCAGUCCAUUAUAUUUUUCUUUAAUCUGUUCCAUGGUAAAUUAACUUAACUUCAUAUCUGCAUUCAUUUUUUUGAAAGAGAGACACAAUAUUUCCAUUAAUUUUACCCGCCUUCACUUUUUUCUAGGGUACAAAACUAAUGAAGACUCAAACUGAACUAAUAAGGGUACAGUAUUAAAACUCAACCUGUUUUUGUAGUUGGUACCUAAGCAAAUUAUAUAAUGGUUGUGAUGAGUCUUGAAUAAUUCUGCGAACCUUCAGCAGAACCUGCUUUUCAUAUAAAGAAGAUAUUGUGGGUAAAUUAGUAUGAGUAAUUCGCCGAGGUAUCUUCCUUUUUCGUUCCAGUUUCUUCAGGCUUCCAUUUGACAAAUUACCAAAGAAGCACAGUAAGUUUAAUGCGACAAUACGCUCUGUAAGUUUGGUUUUAAAAAAAGUACAUAAACGGUAUUGUCUACUCAGAAUUCCGUUAAUUUUCUCAAAAAGAACAUCCACAGGUUAGCUUUUUUUGCUAAAGACUGCAAGUUUCUAUUCAAGUGCAGCUCGUCAUCAAUUAUUAUCCCCAAGUAUUCGUACUUAGUAAGGACAUUGGUAAACGCUUUUUUUAAAAAUAAACAUUUUGUUCGUCCGUUUUCCACACCCCUGCGUUCGAACCUCUAGCCUACUGGAUGGGCCCGUCAAUGGGGGGGGGGGAAACUGCCCCCAUUAUUAAAAAGCAUAAGCAUGAAAUAUAUAAUUUGUUCCUGUGAAUUGGCCCCCUCAAGCUGAUACUGUUCCCCCCUUAAUGCCUGAAGCUGGCAACGGUGCUGGAAGCUACUUCUAACAGGAGUUAUUGUAAUUACGUGCCUCACUUUUCCUGUUCAAGGCGUUGUGCAGAAGAUAUCGCUGUCACGCGCCCUUGGAUGGGGCUAGUAGGAAAUAAGAGCGACCACAUUUUUUUUUCCUCCACCAAGGAUGUAUGCAUUUUUUGUUGACUGGGUCGAAGUUUAUUUCAAGGAUGGAGCCCAAAAUUAAUGGGUCGAAGUUCGUUUCAAAUUAUGAACACUUGGUUGGGGCAGUAGGCCUAUACCUUCUCACAAAAAGAGAGAGCUGGUCGGGGUUAGGUAAGACAUCUGUGCGUCUCACAAUAAUCUCCGGGGUGCAUUGUGAACCAGGUCAUCUGCAGUAGGCAUGCACGCGCACGCCAUGGUGGUGAACGCACGAAAUAAAACAUUCGGUAUCUACCAUUAUGAUGCGCGACAUGCGGCAAAGCCCCCCCCCCCAUUGUGUCUUCUUUUGUGUUGAUGGGAUCUUUGGAAUUCCUUUCAGAUUUCCGAGGGGUUGCAGUAGGCACAAUUGCUUUCACAUGGGGGUCCCCUUUACUAGAUAUCGUGCUGGGUAUCACACAUUGUUACCUCUCAGCUGUAAUUUUAAGCAUUUAAGGCAAUUUUUAAAGCUAACAACCAUACCAGCCAUCUUUGCUUCUAUAUGUAUUUCAAUACAAUAUUAGCCGAUUUAAAUAAUCAUGAUGUGUUUUCAUACAGUAGUCGCAUAGCUACCACAAAGUGUACAUAUUUUGUUUAUCUUUUAUUUAUUCUUUCAUCCGUGCCUCUGGGGGAUAAACAUUACAGCAGCGUCGCCAGACAAGUGAUAAAACGUGAUGGAAACCUUGGAACAUGGCGUACAGACUCCCCACUAACCGCACUAGUCAUCCCGUUCCGUUGGUUUACGCUAUCGUUACUGAAUCGGAAGAAAACAUGUUUGAAAAUAGUAUCGGUGGCUCAGCAGCGGCUAAACGGCGUCCUUAGGAGUUACAUCAGUAAUUUCUAGAGAUAUUUUGAAUCUGCGAGGUUUGCUUGUUUGGUUUCGGUUUGUCUAAAGCAUGUUCCGGUUUGCCCUCUAUUAAUUAUGUGACAUGAAAAAGCAUGGAAACAUUAGCCAGGGAACGUGACCAAAAAACCUUUAAGGUUUCUUUGUGGGUUCCAUCUAUCCAGUAAUGAGAAUAAAGGAAAUAGGAACUUCGUAAACUUGUCCUUUGGGUAAUAUAGUUAACAUGAUUUGAAAAGCAGAACUGGAUGCUGAACCACGUCGUAUGUUUGCACGCCUCCCUGUACAAAAUAGUUGCAUGUAAUGUUAUUUUCUUGCCUGUUUAAGGUCAACUAAUUAACUUUUUAAGUCAUAAUUUUCCAUGUGGCAGUUUCUGGUUAGGGUUAGCGGCAUAUAUUGUUAUUUUCUUACCUGUUUAAGGCCACUUUUAAUCAACUUUUUAAGUGAUAGUUUUCCGUGUGGCAGUUUCUGGUUUGUUAGUUUGAUGCCAAAUCAGUAUACAGAACAGUCUGAGUAAGUCAUGCUGCCCCUUGAUGAAACAUGGGCUAGGUUUAUAUUUAACCUACAGGCAAUUAUAGUCAGCACUGAGUUAAUUUUAAAGAUGUAGAUUUGGCUUCUGUUUUGUCUGUAAUUACCCCAGAUUCAUAGGGUUUCUAGCUCAGUACUUUUAAGUUAUGUUCUUCACGGGUUUUAUAAUAAUACAAGGACCGUCUUAUCAUAAAUUAUUAAGCAAUAGCGAGCAAGUAAACGAUAAAGGUAAUAAGUAAUACAGACGCCUUUUUUCACAGGCCGAUUGAACGUCCGAACCUUCGUUUUUAUUUUGAAUAAUAUGAAAAAUACAUUUA